CCCUUGUACACACCGCCCGUCACGCCAUGGAAGCUGGGGGGACCUGAAGCCGGUGGGCUAACCCGCAAGGGGGGCAGCCGUCAAAGGUCAAUUCAGUGACUGGGGCG
rnacentral:rRNA from 1 species